rnacentral:rRNA from 1 species
GACGUAGGGGGCGAGCGUUGUCCGGAAUCACUGGGCGUAAAGAGCACGUAGGCGGGAUAUUAAGUCAGGUGUGAAAGACCGGGGCUCAACUCCGGGGUUGCACUUGAAACUGAUAUUCUUGAGGGCAGGAGAGGACAGUAGAAUUCCUGGUGUAGCGGUGAAAUGCGUAGAAAUCAGGAGGAAUACCGGUGGCGAAGGCGACUGUCUGGACUGACCCUGACGCUGAGGUGCGAAAGCGUGGGUAGCAAAC